CUUAUUCCUGCGUUUGAAAUAGCUGCAAUGCUUCGGAUACUCGUGAGGUCUGAAGGAGCAUGUAAGGAAUUUCACCAGCAGACCGCCGGUUUCGAUGGUGCCCCAGGUGCUUGUCCGACCUGCCAGGAACCUGAACCUCGCGAGAAGGGGAUCGGUAGCUCCGCUCAGUGGGAUUCAAACCCAUUAAACGCGGACAUAUUGAACCGCAGCUGCCUUAGAGGUGCCUUAUCUACAUGUCGGCCACGGACACCGUGGUAUCGGUGAGAUUUUUCCAGUCGUGAGCAGCAGCAGCAGAAAGUCGCCUGGCCUCAGCCAGUCCUGUCGGCCCCCGACCAGUCAGCCAAGCGGUUUCAUCAGCAGGUACAGGAAGCCAGGGUAACUGAUGGUCAUGUCGGGCUCUGUGUAUCGCAGCCCAACCAGCUGCAUCACCAAGUCAUCCACCAUGAUGCCUGGAGCAGAGACGGACCAGACAAACAAACCCAGUGCUAUGGCGAGGUUUAUGUUUCUACGUCUAUGGUGUUUCUGCAUCAGAGCCAAAAUGAAGGAGCAGGUCUUCUGAGGGACCUCUCUGCCACUGUCCACUUCUGACAGUACGAAGGAGAACUGAGGGUUCUGCCAAAACCAACCUGGACACACACAAACACACACAAACGUCAAAUACCUUAUUUAUACACACACUGCACAAAUAAACUCAUCUCAACUCGAUGUGAGAGAAC